AGCUAAUGAACUUGUUCAAGUAUGUAUUUUGAAAAUACAAAAAAGAGUAGACCCUCUAUUAGCUU
rnacentral:tRNA from 2 species